CCUACGGGUGGCAGCAGUGGGGAAUAUUGGACAAUGGGCGAAAGCCUGAUCCAGCCAUGCCGCGUGUGUGAAGAAGGCCUUCGGGUUGUAAAGCACUUUCAGUGGGGAAGAAAGCCUUGGGGCUAAUACCCUCGAGGAAGGACAUUACCCACAGAAGAAGCACCGGCUAACUCCGUGCCAGCAGCCGCGGUAAUACGGAGGGUGCGAGCGUUAAUCGGAAUUACUGGGCGUAAAGCGCGCGUAGGCGGUCUGAUAAGCCGGUUGUGAAAGCCCCGGGCUCAACCUGGGAACGGCAUCCGGAACUGUCAGGCUAGAGUGCAGGAGAGGAAGGUAGAAUUCCCGGUGUAGCGGUGAAAUGCGUAGAGAUCGGGAGGAAUACCAGUGGCGAAGGCGGCCUACUGGACUGACAUUGACGCUGAGGUGCGAAAGCGUGGGUAGCAAACAGGAUUAGAUACCCUUGUAGUC
rnacentral:rRNA from 1 species